CGCCAAGUAGCUAGCCCCCUCAUUCAAAAAUAACAACUCAUAAUAAAUAAACCCGAACGAACUAAAGUUUACUUAAACAAACCAUUUUUCCCCCUUAGUAUGGGCGACAGAAAAGGAACUACGGCGCAAUAGAGAAAGUACCGCAAGGGAACGCUGAAAGAGAAAUGAAAUAAACCAGUAAAGCCCAAAGAAGCAGAGACUAAAACUCGUACCUUUUGCAUCAUGAUCUAGUUAGUAAAACCCAAGCAAAGAGCACUUUAGUUUGAGUUCCCGAAACGAAGUGAUCUACUCCAGCGAAGGCUAUUAACAGGGUACACCCGUCUCUGUGGCAAAAGAGUGGGAAGACCUUUGAGUAGUGGUGACAGACCUAUACGAACUUAGUAAUAGCUGGUUGCCUGAGAAAUGGAUAGGAGUUCAGCCUUUCGGCUUCUUUCUUGAAUAAAUCUCUCCACAUGAGAGACCCCCCAAAGCAUUCGAAGAAACCGUAAGAGUUAUUCAAAGGAGGUACAGCUCCUUUGAAAGAAGACACAACUUUUCCAGGCGGAUAAAGAUCAUAAUAACUAAGGGUAAAAUGUCCUGGUGGGCCUAAAGGCAGCCAUCCUAGUAGAAAGCGUUAAAGCUCAGACGAACCCCAGCCCCCCCCCCAAUCCUGAUAAUUUUAUCUUAAUCCCCUAAUUAUACCAGGCCGCCCCAUGCACACAUGGGAGUGAUAAUGCUAGAAUGAGUAAUAAGAGGGCCAUUGCCCCUCUCCUUGCACACGUGUACAUCGGAACAGACCUCCUGCCGAACCUUAACGGCCCCAAACCAAGAGGGAACUGAAUAACAGAACAGAAGACCAGAAGAAUAUUCAACUUGAAAACCGUUAACCCUACACAGGUGGGCCCGCAAGGGAAGGCUGAAAGAAAAAGAAGGAAUUCGGCAAACACAUGAAGCCUCGCCUGUUUACCAAAAACAUCGCCUCUUGCAAAAUUAAACAAAUAAGAGGUCCCGCCUGCCCUGUGACUAUAUGUUCAACGGCCGCGGUAUUUUAACCGCGCGAAGGUAGCGCAAUCACUUGUCUUUUAAAUGGGGACCUGUAUGAAUGGCAUAACGAGGGCUUGACUGUCUCCUUUUUCGAGUCAAUGAAAUUGAUCUUUCCGUGCAGAAGCGGGAAUAUAAACAUAAGACGAGAAGACCCUAUGGAGCUUUAGACACUAAGACAGAUCAUACUUAAGUCCCUCACUUCCAAACAAAGAACUAAACCAAUGAAACCUGUCCUAAUGUCUUAGGUUGGGGCGACCCAGGGGAACAAAAACCCCCCACGUGGACUGGGAGGACCUUUCCCCCUUUUUCUUUCGUCCUCCUAAAAACAAGACCCACAGCUCUAAUAUUCAGAAUUUCUGACCAAUAAUGAUCCGGCAUUAGCCGAUCAACGGACCAAGUUACCCUAGGGAUAACAGCGCAAUCCCCUUUCAGAGCCCAUAUCGACAAGGGGGUUUACGACCUCGAUGUUGGAUCAGGACAUCCUAAUGGUGCAGCCGCUAUUAAGGGUUCGUUUGUUCAACGAUUAAAGUCCUACGUGAUCUGAGUUCAGACCGGAGUAAUCCAGGUCAGUUUCUAUCUAUGACAUGAUCUUUUCUAGUACGAAAGGACCGAAAAGAGGGGGCCCCUGCUGGAAGUACGCCCCACCCUUACCUAAUGAAAACAACUAAAUUAGACAAAAGGGCAUAUACAUAUACCGGAGAAAACGGUAU
rnacentral:rRNA from 1 species